GGUCUCGUGGCCUAAUGGAUAAGGCUUUGGUCUUCGGAACCAAAGACUGUGGGUUCGAGUCUCAUCGAGAUCG
rfam:Perkinsus marinus ATCC 50983 gcontig_1104296646326, whole genome shotgun sequence.